CCCUUAGAUGUUCUGGGCCGCACGCGCGCUACACUGAUGCAUUCAACAAGCCUAGCCUUGACCGAGAGGUCCGGGUAAUCUUUGAAACUGCAUCGUGAUGGGGCUAGAUUAUUGCAAUUAUUAAUCUUCAACGAGGAAUGCCUAGUAAGCGUGAUUCAUCAAAUCGCGUUGAUUACGUCCCUGCCCUUUGUACACACCGCCCGUCGCUCCUACCGAUUGAAUGUGUUGGUGAGGAGCUCGGAUUGGCAGCAGUUGGUGGUUCGCCACCGGCUAUUGCUGAGAAGUCCUCCAAACCGCCCCAUGUAGAGGAAGGAGAAGUCGUAACA
rnacentral:rRNA from 1 species